GUUCGUCUUCCCAGGGUAAGUCAGGACCUAAGAUGAGGCUGAAAAGCGUAGUCGAUGGACAACAGGUUGAUAUUCCUGUACCACCUAUAUGACUGAAGGAGUGACGGAGAAAGCUAGUGAGAGCCAGUUAAUGGAUUCUGGUCUAAGUGCGUAGGCUAGUAUGUUGGCAAAUCCGCAAUACUAUAACAGCUGAAACAUGAUGGGGAAGAGAGUCUUCGGACAAUCGAACUUUCAUGAUGCUAUGCUUCCAAGAAAAGCUUCUAGGGUUAAUCGUAUAGGUGCCUGUACCGACAACCGACACAGGUGGUCAAGGAGAGUAUCCUAAGGUGAGCGAGAGAACUAUGGUUAAGGAACUCGGCAAAAUGACCCCGUAACUUCGGGAGAAGGGGUGGUCUAGCGAUAGACCCGCAGUGAAUAGGCCCAGGCAACUGUUUACCAAAAACACAGGUCUCUGCUAACACGUAAGUGGAUGUAUAGGGGCUGACGCCUGCCCAGUGCUGGAAGGUUAAAGAGAUUAGUUAGUAUGACGUAAGUCGAUAAUACGAAGCUUUGAACUGAAGCCCCAGUGAACGGCGGCCGUAACUAUAACGGUCCUAAGGUAGCGAAAUUCCUUGUCAGGUAAGUUCUGACCCGCACGAAAGGCGUAAUGAUCUGGGUACUGUCUCAACCAUAGACUCGGUGAAAUCUUAAUACCUGUGAAAAUGCAGGUUACCCGCGACUGGACGGAAAGACCCCGUGGAGCUUUACUGUAGCUUGAUAUUGGAAUUCGGUAAACUAUGUAGAGCAUAGGUGGGAGACUAUGAGAUUAAGGCGCCAGCCUUAAAGGAGUCACCAUUGGAAUACCACCCUUAGUUUAUUGGAUUUCUAACCUAGGACCAUAAUCUGGUUCAGGGACAGUGUCUGGUGGGCAGUUUGACUGGGGCGGUCGCCUCCUAAAGAGUAACGGAGGCGUUCAAAGGUUCCCUCAGAAUGGUUGGAAAUCAUUCAAAGAGCAUAAAGGUAUAAAGGGAGCUUGACUGCAAGACCUACAAGUCAAGCAGGUGCGAAAGCAGGACUUAGUGAUCAGGCGAUUCAGAAUGGAAUGGUCGUCGCUUAACGGAUAAAAGUUACCCCGGGGAUAACAGGCUGAUACCACCCAAUAGUUCACAUAGACGGUGGUGUUUGGCACCUCGAUGUCGGCUCGUCAUAUCCUGGAGGUGGAGUCGCUUCCAAGGGUUGGGCUGUUCGCCCAUUAAAAUGGCACGCGAGCUGGGUUCAGAACGUCGUGAGACAGUUCGGUCCCUAUCCGUCGUGGGCGCAGGAAAAUUGAGGAGAGCUAUCCUUAGUACGAGAGGACCGGGAUGGACCUACCUCUGGUGUAUCUGUUGUCACGCCAGUGGCAGUGCAGAGUAGCUAUGUAGGGAAGGGAUAAACGCUGAAAGCAUCUAAGCGUGAAGCCCUCUCCAAGAUGAGUUUUCCCAUUGUUUAACAAGUAAAAUCCCAGAAAGACUAACUGGUAGAUAGGCUAGAAGUGGAAGUGUAGUGAUACAUUGAGCGGACUAGUACUAAUAGAUUGAGGAUUUAAUCCC
rnacentral:rRNA from 1 species